GAAUCUAGUUUAGCAGAAACGGUAAAGGCAGCGGAAGCAGAAAGGAGGGCAUGAAGUCUCCACGGUGGUGAAUCAAUAAACUGGGUAGCGACAAACCCGUGUCAAGACAGCUGGUUACCUGAGCUGCGCUGUGCCUGCAGCCACAAGCUUCUUCUCCACUGAGGCCCUGUACAGUGCAGAGAAGCAAGCAUUUCAUGUCUUCAUCACGAUGGUGGUAACUUGGGCAUACUGUGUCCUGCAUGACCACCACUGACAGAACCCACUGCCAUGACUCUGCCACUCACGAAAAGACCACUCUGCAGUUUUGAGGAUGAUGCACUGUGAGGAAACUGAGGCUUAGAGAAGCCGGGUGAAGAUCACUAAUGAGCAGAGGUGUCAGUAUGCAAACCUGGAACUGACCAAAACAGCUGUACUUUUCUCCUCCUACAACAUUGUCUGCCCAAAUACCCAGCAGCUGACAUAAAGGCAAAUCUUAAUUUUCCACAGAAACAGAAGACUGCGACAGCAUGGCUGAUUGAAAUCACAGAUGCAUAUUGGUCGGUACUUUCACUCUUUUCUUUCAACCUUAAUUAAUAACAAAUAAUAAAUUUGAUGGAUUGAUUCUCA